ensembl:snoRNA
UGGAUCGGUGACAGCCACUGGUGGCGUCUGAGUCGCGUACGAUGAGUACGUGUCUGGAACUCUGAGGCCCGA